rnacentral:rRNA from 1 species
AGUGAACGCUGGCGGUAGGCCUAACACAUGCAAGUCGAACGGCAGCACAGGAGAGCUUGCUCUCUGGGUGGCGAGUGGCGGACGGGUGAGGAAUACAUCGGAAUCUACUCUGUCGUGGGGGAUAACGUAGGGAAACUUACGCUAAUACCGCAUACGACCUACGGGUGAAAGCAGGGGACCUUCGGGCCUUACGCGAUUGAAUGAGCCGAUGUCGGAUUAGCUAGUUGGCGGGGUAAAGGCCCACCAAGGCGACGAUACGUAGCUGGUCUGAAAGGAUGAUCAGCCACACUGGAACUGAGACACGGUCCAGACUCCUACGGGAGGCAGUAGUGGGGAAUAUUGGACAAUGGGCGCAAGCCUGAUCCAGCCAUACCGCGUGGGUGAAGAAGGCCUUCGGGUUGUAAAGCCCUUUUGUUGGGAAAGAAAUCCAGCUGGCUAAUACCCGGUUGGGAUGACGGUACCCAAAGAAUAAGCACCGGCUAACUUCGUGCCAGCCGCCGCCGUAA